UACGGAGGGUGCGAGCGUUGUUCGGAAUCACUGGGCGUAAAGGGCGUGUAGGCGGCCCGCUAAGUCUGAUGUGAAAGCCCGGGGCUCACCCCCGGAAGUGCAUUGGAAACUGGCGGACUCGAGUCCCGGAGAGGAGAGUGGAAUUCCUGGUGUAGCGGUGAAAUUCGUAGAUAUUAGGAAGAACACCAGUGGCGAAGGCGGUUCUCUGGGCCUUACCUGACGCUGAGGAGCGAAAGCAUGGGGAGCAAACAGG
rnacentral:rRNA from 1 species